UGGCUCAGUGGUAGAGCGUGUGCCUUGCAUGCAUGAGGCCCUGGGUUCGAUUCCUCAG
rnacentral:tRNA from 1 species